rnacentral:rRNA from 1 species
AUUGAACGCUGGCGGCAGGCCUAACACAUGCAAGUCGAGCGGAUGAGGAGAGCUUGCUCUCUGAUUUAGCGGCGGACGGGUGAGUAAUGCCUAGGAAUCUGCCUGGUAGUGGGGGAUAACGUUCCGAAAGGAACGCUAAUACCGCAUACGUCCUACGGGAGAAAGCAGGGGACCUUCGGGCCUUGCGCUAUCAGAUGAGCCUAGGUCGGAUUAGCUAGUUGGUGAGGUAAUGGCUCACCAAGGCGACGAUCCGUAACUGGUCUGAGAGGAUGAUCAGUCACACUGGAACUGAGACACGGUCCAGACUCCUACGGGAGGCAGCAGUGGGGAAUAUUGGACAAUGGGCGAAAGCCUGAUCCAGCCAUGCCGCGUGUGUGAAGAAGGUCUUCGGAUUGUAAAGCACUUUAAGUUGGGAGGAAGGGUUGUAGAUUAAUACUCUGCAAUUUUGACGUUACCAACAGAGUAAGCACCGGCUAACUUCGUGCCAGCCGCCGCCGUAAAAC